rnacentral:rRNA from 1 species
UACGUGAGGGGCAAGCGUUGUCCGGAAUCAUUGGGCGUAAAGCGCGCGUAGGCGGCCCGGUAAGUCCGUUGUGAAAGUCAAAGGCUCAACCUUUGAACGCCGAUGGAUACUGCCGGGCUAGAGUCCGGAAGAGGCGAGUGGAAUUCCUGGUGUAGCGGUGGAAUGCGCAGAUAUCAGGAGGAACACCAAUAGCGAAGGCAGCUCGCUGGGACGGUACUGACGCUGAGGCGCGAAAGCGUGGGGAGCGAACAGG